GCAUGGGUUUGGAUUUAUGGCAGGCCUGUUCCCCUGGGCCUCUCAUUCUGUCCCAUGCCAGAGCAAACUGUGGCUCUGAACUGUUGCCUGGCUUUUGCCUGUAGGCUGCUGUCACUAAAGUGCAUUGAACAGUG
rnacentral:snoRNA from 1 species